AGUGAACGCUGGCGGUAGGCCUAACACAUGCAAGUCGAACGGCAGCACAGUAAGAGCUUGCUCUUACGGGUGGCGAGUGGCGGACGGGUGAGGAAUACAUCGGAAUCUACUUUUUCGUGGGGGAUAACGUAGGGAAACUUACGCUAAUACCGCAUACGACCUACGGGUGAAAGCAGGGGAUCUUCGGACCUUGCGCGAUUGAAUGAGCCGAUGUCGGAUUAGCUAGUUGGCGGGGUAAAGGCCCACCAAGGCGACGAUCCGUAGCUGGUCUGAGAGGAUGAUCGGCCAAACUGGAACUGGGACACGGUCCAGACCCCUAGGGGAGGCAGGAGGGGGGAAUUUUGGAAAAGGGGCGAAAGCCUGAACCAGCCAUCCCGGGGGGGUGAAGAAGGCCUUCGGGUUGUAAAGCCCUUUUGUUGGGAAAAAAAAGAAGCAGGUUAAUACCCCGCUGUUCUGGCGGUACCAAAAAAAAAAGCACCGGCGAAUUGCGU
rnacentral:rRNA from 1 species